GUCGAGAAUCAUUCGCAAUGGGCGCAAGCCUGACGAUGCGACGCCGCGUGCAGGAUGAAGGCCUUCGGGUUGUAAACUGCUGUGAUGGGGGAACAACCGGCAGGGUGUUAACAGCUCCUUGCUCUGAUAGUACCCCAAGAGGAAGCCACGGCUAACUCUGUGCCAGCAGCCGCGGUAAUACAGAGGUGGCGAGCGUUGUUCGGAUUUACUGGGCGUAAAGGGUGCGUAGGCGGUUCCGCAUGUCGGAUGUGAAAUCCCACGGAUCAUCUGUGGAAUGGCAUUCGAAACUGCGGGGCUAGAGUGCAGGAGAGGAGGGCGGAAUUCUCGGUGUAGCGGUGAAAUGCGUUGAUAUCGAGAAGAACGCCGGUGACGAAGGUGGCCCUCUGGACUGCAACUGACGCUGAGGCACGAAAGCUAGGGGAGCAAACAGGAUUAGAAACCCCAGUAGUCC
rnacentral:rRNA from 1 species